AUAGCAACAGCAGCGUAGCUGAACAUCUUACGGAUGGCCCAGGGCUCCAAAGGCUCGUUUCCUAAGUGAGAGAGAGCCUGGCUGAAGCUGUAUUACCAUUCAUUCUCCAGCCUCCGAAGUCUCAAAGCAUCACUUCCACCAUACUCUAACUGUCAAGACAAACACAAAGGCCCAGAAACUGCCAGACUGUCUUCUGAAGUGGCUAUAAUAUUUACACUCCCAUCAGCAGUGUAGAAGGGGUCUCACUAUGUUGUCUGGAGUGCUGUGGUGGAGUGGAGUGGCUAUUCACAGAGCCUGUUCUGCUGGGACACAGAAUCACUUGCUCCAUCUCAUACAUUGAUGAUGAUUAAUUUGUAUGUGUACCUUCCAAAAAAGAUGGUUGUGUUUGAAUGGAGGCCUUCUGGACAGGAAAAUAUGGAGAGUGCGUGCUUUGGAUUCAAGACUGGGAAUGAGGGGACCAGAAACCUAUUCUGUGGCUGUUUCUUGUUAGGACUUUCCUAAGCCUCUGGAAAAGGUUCAAUCCUGCUGAUGCUCUCCAUGGAGAUGGUCAGCAAGUGCAAAGUACAAUUAACAUUUGAGUCUGUCUGAGUCAUGAAGAAAUGGAGAUUACUGAAAAUAAUUCAUUUUGGUAUCUUCUUACAUCCUGAGAGACUAAUCUUUCCAAGUUCAUCUGAGGCUCCUCUUCUCCAUGACAACCUCAUCCAGGGAUUUCUUCCUGUCCUGGUGUUUUAUGACAUAAUCACAUCCUUCCUGAGAUAAUGAGCACACAAUUGCCUGGAUACCUGAAGGAAUGGAGACAGCGGCAGAAAACACUGCAGAGAGGUGGAAACAUCCGUUAAUAUUUUAAAAUCCCAUUACUGCUACCAACAAUAAUAAUGGAUGCAUAGAAAUAGAUCUGGAUUAGCUGAGCUUGAAACAGUCCAUCUCACACACACACAAAAGAAUUUCAGAUACAGUGAACCCACAUGUUGAAGCUUUCUAGUAUAAUAAAAAUUUCAACUGUUCUGUUGAAUCAUCUGCCUGAUUGGAGGCUACAGAAAAGAUGUCAUCUUAGGAGUGCUUGCUCUGAGUGAGGCUCAUCUUCAAAUCUGAAUGACCACAAGGAGAUUUGAUUAUACAUGUGAACACCUCAGAAGGCACAGCCCACCCAGAAGGCAGACAGGUCAGGCUGCUUUUUCUUCAUUGCUUGGAUUCAAUCCUCCGGGCGGCUCAGGCUCAAACAUAACUUAAGCAUGAUUAAACUUUAGAAGAAGCUGCCAGGAAGACUGUGAAAUCUUCAUGCCCAAGGAUCCCUAAAAUUAGGAGCAACAACCACUUGGCUCAGACGGUUUAUGGAGGCAAAGGUUUGGAUGGGAUUAGAGAUUUCUAAAUGUGAGUUCGUGUCCUCUGCCAGACCACCUUACUUCCACCAUUCCUCAGCAAAUCAAGAAAAACAGGAGAAAAGACAUGCCUUUCCAUAAGUUAAAUCUAUUCUGUUUUAAUUCUAUAUUAUAUCUGCUGUACAACUUCUUUUGUUUGUAACACCAUAUUGUUGCUAGUAACUGGAAAUUAAUUUUCACAUGCCUCAGCUUAGAAAAAUAAAAAGCAGCCCUGCAUCAA
rnacentral:lncRNA from 1 species